GGAGAGAUGGCUGAGUGGUUGAAGGCGGCGGUCUCGAAAACCGUUGUAGGGCGUAAGCUCUACCGUGGGUUCAAAUCCCACUCUCUCCGCCA
rnacentral:tRNA from 2 species